AACCCUAACCUAACCCCUAAUCCCUAACCCUAACUUAUAUUGGUGCGCGAAACAUGGAACGAUAACCCAAAAAGGUUUCCUAGCAAUUUCAGAAACAUUUGAUGUUUCCCUAUGUUUCUCACUAAUGUUUCCAAGUGUUUGUCCACUCUGGGAAAUAUGGCGAAACCGCGAAACAUUGGCAGGAAACAAUGUUUCCUAGUUUGCCCAGGGCUUGAGAUUGUGGGUUUGAUUCUCGCUACGGAUCGACUCAUGUAAAAGAGUUUGUCAGAUGGAAAGUGGAUUAGGACGUUAGGAUAACCAC